AAAACAAUUACGUUUUUUCGUAAUUACUUACUCCAGGCCAGGAGUAAGCCAUGGCCUUUAUACAAAAGACUAGUUUCCGUUUGUAUACCUAAUUGUAUACCUAACGUUUGUGAUGCUAUUUUGUAUUAAUUAUCUUCCUGUUUGGAAUGCUUACAGAUGGUGAGUGCUGAUCUACACAGCAAAGUGCAUUUUCCCCAGCAACUGGUGAAGCCACCUAACCAAAAUACAUCUCACAGAUGCAUCUAACUAAAGGGAAUUUGUUCACUUAGUCUGUGUUAAAGUCAUUCUUUACAGAAGAAAUUGUGAGGAGCAAAGACUGUGCUAUUUCUUCAACUGGAGAUUUUAUUUAUCUCUUAAUAAAUUAAAAUUGAUGAU
rnacentral:lncRNA from 1 species